rnacentral:rRNA from 1 species
GCCAGUUACGGGAGGCAGCAGUAGGGAAUUUUCCGCAAUGCACGAAAGUGUGACGGAGCGACGCCGCGUGUGUGAUGAAGGCUUUCGGGUCGUAAAGCACUGUUGUAAGGGAAGAAUAACCAGAUUCAGAGAAAGCUUCUGGCUUGACGGUACCUUACCAGAAAGGGAUGGCUAAAUACGUGCCAGCAGCCGCGGUAAUGGUCAUAGCUGUUU